rnacentral:rRNA from 1 species
UACGGGGGGGGCAAGCGUUGUUCGGAAUUACUGGGCGUAAAGGGCUCGUAGGUGGCCAACUAAGUCGGACGUGAAAUCCCUCAGCUUAACUGGGGAACUGCGUCCGAUACUGGAUGGCUUGAGUUUGGGAGAGGGAUGCGGAAUUCCAGGUGUAGCGGUGAAAUGCGUAGAUAUCUGGAGGAACACCGGUGGCGAAGGCGGCAUCCUGGACCGGCAUUGACGCUGAGGCGCGAAAGCCAGGGGAGCAAACGGG